GAUGAACGCUGGCGGCGUGCCUAAUACAUGCAAGUCGAGCGAAUGGAUUAAGAGCUUGCUCUUAUGAAGUUAGCGGCGGACGGGUGAGUAACACGUGGGUAACCUGCCCAUAAGACUGGGAUAACUCCGGGAAACCGGGGCUAAUACCGGAUAACAUUUUGAACCGCAUGGUUCGAAAUUGAAAGGCGGCUUCGGCUGUCACUUAUGGAUGGACCCGCGUCGCAUUAGCUAGUUGGUGAGGUAACGGCUCACCAAGGCAACGAUGCGUAGCCGACCUGCGAGGGUGAUCGGCCACACUGGGACUGAGACACGGCCCAGACUCCUACGGGAGGCAGCAGUAGGGAAUCUUCCGCAAUGGACGAAAGUCUGACGGAGCAACGCCGCGUGUGUGAUGAAGGCUUUCGAGUCGUAAAACUCUGCUGUUAGGGAAGAACAAGUGCUAGUUGAAUAAGCUGGCACCUUGACGGUACCUAACCAGAAAGCCACGGCUAACUACGUGCCAGCCGCCGCAGUAA
rnacentral:rRNA from 1 species